GGGCGGAUAGCUCAGCUGGUAUAGAGCGCCUGCCUUACAAGCAGGAGGUCGGGAGUUCGAGUCUCUCUUCGCCCACGA
rnacentral:tRNA from 2 species